CGAUACUUUUGCAACUGUAUGCUGUGUGACUGAAGACUCCUUACAACUUGAUGUUGUGUUUUGCCUAAUACUAAAUCACUUGUGUGAGUGUAUUAACCCACUUAUCCAACAUCUGGUGUUUUUAAAUACUACACUAUUUUGUGAUGUUUCUAUUGUAGCGUUAUGGUUUUAUGUACAAUGAUGUACAAUGAUGAUUUAGAG